rnacentral:rRNA from 1 species
AGAGUUUGAUCCUGGCUCAGGACGAACGCUGGCGGCGUGCUUAACACAUGCAAGUCGAGCGAUGAAACUUCCUUCGGGAAGUGGAUUAGCGGCGGACGGGUGAGUAACACGUGGGUAACCUGCCUCAAAGUGGGGGAUAGCCUUCCGAAAGGAAGAUUAAUACCGCAUAAUAUAAGAGAAUCGCAUGAUUUUCUUAUCAAAGAUUUAUUGCUUUGAGAUGGACCCGCGGCGCAUUAGCUAGUUGGUAAGGUAACGGCUUACCAAGGCAACGAUGCGUAGCCGACCUGAGAGGGUGAUCGGCCACAUUGGAACUGAGACACGGUCCAGACUCCUACGGGAGGCAGCAGUGGGGAAUAUUGCGCAAUGGGGGAAACCCUGACGCAGCAACGCCGCGUGGGUGAUGAAGGUCUUCGGAUUGUAAAGCCCUGUUUUCUAGGACGAUAAUGACGGUACUAGAGGAGGAAGCCACGGCUAACUACGUGCCAGCAGCCGCGGUAAUACGUAGGUGGCGAGCGUUGUCCGGAUUUACUGGGCGUAAAGGGUGCGUAGGCGGAUGUUUAAGUGGGAUGUGAAAUCCCCGGGCUUAACCUGGGGGCUGCAUUCCAAACUGGAUAUCUAGAGUGCAGGAGAGGAAAGCGGAAUUCCUAGUGUAGCGGUGAAAUGCGUAGAGAUUAGGAAGAACACCAGUGGCGAAGGCGGCUUUCUGGACUGUAACUGACGCUGAGGCACGAAAGCGUGGGUAGCAAACAGGAUUAGAUACCCUGGUAGUCCACGCCGUAAACGAUGGAUACUAGGUGUAGGGGGUAUCAACUCCCCCUGUGCCGCAGUUAACACAAUAAGUAUCCCGCCUGGGGAGUACGGUCGCAAGAUUAAAACUCAAAGGAAUUGACGGGGGCCCGCACAAGCAGCGGAGCAUGUGGUUUAAUUCGAAGCAACGCGAAGAACCUUACCUGGACUUGACAUCCCUUGCAUAGCCUAGAGAUAGGUGAAGCCCUUCGGGGCAAGGAGACAGGUGGUGCAUGGUUGUCGUCAGCUCGUGUCGUGAGAUGUUAGGUUAAGUCCUGCAACGAGCGCAACCCUUGUUAUUAGUUGCUACCAUUAAGUUGAGCACUCUAAUGAGACUGCCUGGGUAACCAGGAGGAAGGUGGGGAUGACGUCAAAUCAUCAUGCCCCUUAUGUCCAGGGCUACACACGUGCUACAAUGGUAGGUACAAUAAGACGCAAGACCGUGAGGUGGAGCAAAACUUAUAAAACCUAUCUCAGUUCGGAUUGUAGGCUGCAACUCGCCUACAUGAAGCUGGAGUUGCUAGUAAUCGCGAAUCAGAAUGUCGCGGUGAAUACGUUCCCGGGCCUUGUACACACCGCCCGUCACACCAUGAGAGCUGGUAACACCCGAAGUCCGUGAGGUAACCGUAAGGAGCCAGCGGCCGAAGGUGGGAUUAGUGAUUGGGGUGAAGUCGUAACAAGGUAGCCGUAGGAGAACCUGCGGCUG